UACGUAGGCAGCAAGCGUUGUUCGGAAUUACUGGGCGUAAAGAGUGUGUAGGCGGUGCUCCAAGUCUGGUGUGAAAUCUCCCGGCUUACUGGGAGGGUGCAUUAGAAACUGGAAUGCUAGAGGAUGGGAGAGGUAAGCGGAAUUCCUGGUGUAGCGGUGAAAUGCGUAGAUAUCAGGAGGAACACCUGUGGUGUAGACGCUUUCUGGGACCAUUUUCUGACGCUGAGACACGAAAAGCGUGGGGUAGCAAAACAG
rnacentral:rRNA from 1 species